rnacentral:rRNA from 1 species
UGAGUAACACGUAGGUAAUCUACCUUCGGGUGGGGAAUAACCCAGGAAACUUGGGCUAAUACCGCAUAAUGCAGCGGCCCUAAUGGUGAUUCAGUUGUUAAAGCGGGGGAUCGCAAGACCUCGCGCCUGAAGAGGAGCCUGCGGCAGAUUAGCUAGUUGGUGAGGUAAUGGCUCACCAAGGCAUCGAUCUGUAGCUGGUCUGAGAGGACGGCCAGCCACACUGGCACUGACACACGGGCCAGACUCCUACGGGAGGCAGCAGUGGGGAAUUUUGGGCAAUGGGCGAAAGCCUGACCCAGCAACGCCGCGUGACGGAAGGAAAUCCUUCGGGAUGUAAACCUCACAAGCAAGGGAACGAGAGCUGCGGGCUGAAUAAUCCCGUAGUGCGACGGUAACCUUGCGUAAGCAACGGG